rnacentral:rRNA from 1 species
GCUGGCCGCGUGCUCAACACAUGCAAGUUGAGCGCUAAGGCCCUUCGGGGUACACGAGCGGCGAAUCGGGUGAGUAACACGUGGGUGAUCUGCCCUGCACUUCGGGAUAAGCCUGGGAAACUGGGUCUAAUACCGGAUAUGACCAAUGGCUGCAUGGCUUUUGGUGGAAAGGUUUACUGGUGCAGGAUGGGCCCGCGGCCUAUCAGCUUGUUGGUGGGGUAAUGGCCUACCAAGGCGACGACGGGUAGCCGACCUGAGAGGGUGACCGGCCACACUGGGACUGAGACACGGCCCAGACUCCUACGGGAGGCAGCAGUGGGGAAUAUUGCACAAUGGGCGAAAGCCUGAUGCAGCGACGCCGCGUGAGGGAUGACGGCCUUCGGGUUGUAAACCUCUUUCAGCAGGGACGAAGCGAAAGUGACGGUACCUGCAGAAGAAGCACCGGCCAACUACGUGCCAGCAGCCGCGGUAUUACGUAGGGUGCGAGCGUUGUCUGGAAUUACUGGGCGUAAAGAGUUCGUAGGCGGUUUGUCGCGUCGUCUGUGAAAACCCACCGCUCAACGGUGGGCCUGCAGGCGAUACGGGCAGACUUGAGUACUGCAGGGGAGACUGGAAUUCCUGGUGUAGCGGUGAAAUGCGCAGAUAUCAGGAGGAACACCGGUGGCGAAGGCGGGUCUCUGGCCAGUAACUG